rnacentral:rRNA from 1 species
AAAUUGAAGAGUUUGAUCAUGGCUCAGAUUGAACGCUGGCGGCAGGCCUAACACAUGCAAGUCGAGCGGUAGCACAGAGAGCUUGCUCUCGGGUGACGAGCGGCGGACGGGUGAGUAAUGUCUGGGAAACUGCCUGAUGGAGGGGGAUAACUACUGGAAACGGUAGCUAAUACCGCAUAAUGUCGCAAGACCAAAGUGGGGGACCUUCGGGCCUCAUGCCAUCAGAUGUGCCCAGAUGGGAUUAGCUAGUAGGUGGGGUAACGGCUCACCUAGGCGACGAUCCCUAGCUGGUCUGAGAGGAUGACCAGCCACACUGGAACUGAGACACGGUCCAGACUCCUACGGGAGGCAGCAGUGGGGAAUAUUGCACAAUGGGCGCAAGCCUGAUGCAGCCAUGCCGCGUGUGUGAAGAAGGCCUUCGGGUUGUAAAGCACUUUCAGCGGGGAGGAAGGCGGUGAGGUUAAUAACCUUGUCGAUUGACGUUACCCGCAGAAGAAGCACCGGCUAACUCCGUGCCAGCAGCCGCGGUAAUACGGAGGGUGCAAGCGUUAAUCGGAAUUACUGGGCGUAAAGCGCACGCAGGCGGUCUGUCAAGUCGGAUGUGAAAUCCCCGGGCUCAACCUGGGAACUGCAUUCGAAACUGGCAGGCUAGAGUCUUGUAGAGGGGGGUAGAAUUCCAGGUGUAGCGGUGAAAUGCGUAGAGAUCUGGAGGAAUACCGGUGGCGAAGGCGGCCCCCUGGACAAAGACUGACGCUCAGGUGCGAAAGCGUGGGGAGCAAACAGGAUUAGAUACCCUGGUAGUCCACGCCGUAAACGAUGUCGAUUUGGAGGUUGUGCCCUUGAGGCGUGGCUUCCGGAGCUAACGCGUUAAAUCGACCGCCUGGGGAGUACGGCCGCAAGGUUAAAACUCAAAUGAAUUGACGGGGGCCCGCACAAGCGGUGGAGCAUGUGGUUUAAUUCGAUGCAACGCGAAGAACCUUACCUGGUCUUGACAUCCACAGAACUU